rnacentral:lncRNA from 1 species
UGGUCCACAUGGUGGCAGAGCUCAAGGGGGAGGUGGAGAGGUUGAGGGAUAUCAGGGAGUGCGAGCGGGAGAUAGACUGGUGGAGCAACUCCCUGCAGGGCCUCAAGGAGAGGUAUCGAGGUGAGACACCCCAAAUGGGGGUGGACCCCCUGCCCUGCUGCCGUCGGGCAGAGGGAAGGGACCUGGGAGUUGAGGAGGAAUGGAGACAGGUCCCUGCUCGACAUUGCAGGCGAUGCCCCCCCCUACUGGCCCCACCUUCCCAGGUGCCCUUAUGCAACAGGUUUGAGGCCCUGGAGCUUGAGAGACCGGUAGCUGAGGAGGAGGUAGAAAGCCUACCCAGGAGGAUGCCUAGGGCGAGGAAGUCGACUCCACGCCUCAGGACUGCCUCCACCAGGACAGAAAGAAAGGUGAUUGUUGUGGGCGACUCCCUUCUCAGGGGAACAGAGGGCCCUAUUUGUCAGCCUGACCCUAUCCGUAGGGAAGUCUGCUGCCUCCCUGGGGCCAGGGUCAGGGAUGUUGCCAGGAAGCUUCCCAACCUGGUUCGCCCCUCUGACUUUUAUCCUCUUUUGAUAGUCCAGGUGGGCAGUGAUGACACUGAAGAGAGAAGCCUGAAGGCUAUCAAACGGGACUUUAGGGGACUGGGGCGAUUAGUGGAGGGAGCGGGAGUACAGGUGGUGUAUUCGUCCAUCCCUACAGUGGCAGGGAGGGGUACAGAGAGGACACGAAAAGCCCACCUGAUAAACACAUGGCUCAGGGGCUGGUGCCAGCACAGAAAUCUUGGUUUUUUUUGACUAUGGGGUGCUUUACUCAGCACCCAGCCUGAUGGCCGCAGACAGGUCCCUAUCUUUCAGGGGAAAACAGAUCCUGGGCCAGGAGCUGGCGGGGCUCAUUGAGAGGGCUUUAAACUAGGUGAGAUGGGGGAUGGGGCUGAAACAAGGAUUGUUGGAGCUGUGCCAGGGGGAACAAUAGCAAGGCUGGGGGAUAAGGCAAUGGCCCAGCUGAAGUUCAUCUACACCAAUGCCCGCAGCAUGGGUAACAAACAGGAGGAGCUGGAAGCCAUCGUGCAGCAGGCAGGCUACGACUUGGUUGCCAUCAGGGAGAUGUGGUGGGACCACUAUCAUUACUGGAGUGCUGCAAUGCCUGGCUAUAGGCUCUUCAGAAAGGACAG